rnacentral:rRNA from 1 species
GAUGAACGCUGGCGGCGUGCCUAAUACAUGCAAGUCGAGCGAACGGACGAGAAGCUUGCUUCUCUGAUGUUAGCGGCGGACGGGUGAGUAACACGUGGAUAACCUACCUAUAAGACUGGGAUAACUUCGGGAAACCGGAGCUAAUACCGGAUGAUAUUUUGAACCGCAUGGUUCAACAGUGAAAGACGGUCUUGCUGUCACUUAUAGAUGGAUCCGCGCUGCAUUAGCUAGUUGGUAAGGUAACGGCUUACCAAGGCAACGAUGCAUAGCCGACCUGAGAGGGGGAUCGGCCACACUGGAACUGAGACACGGUCCAGACUCCUACGGGAGGCAGCAGUAGGGAAUCUUCCGCAAUGGGCGAAAGCCUGACGGAGCAACGCCGCGUGAGAGAUGAAGGUCUUCGGAUCGUAAAACUCUGUUAUUAGGGAAGAACAUAUGUGUAAGUAACUGUGCACAUCUUGACGGUACCUAAUCAGAAAGCCACGGCUAACUACGUG